UGAUCCCUAGUCUAGUGGUUUAGGACCUUCGCCUUUGGGCGGAGGUCCCGAGUUCAAUUCUCUAGGUGCUUUA